UGGCUCUCGCAUCGAUGAAGAACGCAGCGAAAUGCGAUAAGUAAUGUGAAUUGCAGAAUUCAGUGAAUCAUCGAAUCUUUGAACGCACCUUGCGCUCCUUGGCAUUCCGAGGAGCACGUCUGUUUGAGUGUCAUGAAAUUCUCAACCUAUAAAAUCUUGUAUUUGUAGGCUUGGAUAAUUGGAGGCUUCGCCGACGUCUUUCUUGAACGCCGGCCCCUCUAAAAUGCAUUAGCUUGCGUCCUUGUGGAUCGGCUUUAGGUGUGAUAAUUGUCUACGCCGUGGUCGUGAAGCGUUUUUUGACCAGCUUCUAAUCGUCUCGUUAAGAGACAAAGUGAAUCUUUGUUGAUUCAAUGACAAUCUGACCUCAAAUCAGGCGGGACUACCCGCUGA
rnacentral:misc_RNA from 1 species